CAUUGUUCUAUCUUUCAAUCUCGUCCGUCCAUAUCUACCCUCGCUUCCAUAAAACGCAAAUUAUGAGACUAGAGAAAAUAUCAUCUCGCCGACAACCGACUGUAUAUCCUAUCCUCAUAUUGGGAGAAAUCUCAGAUCUGAUGUCGAGCCUUUCGAGUUCGAUUCGAUCAACAUGUUAUCGAUGUAGAUCGGUUGACGAUCUACGUUUUGAUGUGUUUUUUCUUUUGGAUCCAUCUAUCGAUCGUGUUGUUUUGCAGAAAACCGAUUGGUUUGACGUGAGGUGUUGAUGGCCGUGGAUCUACCUUUAACCGUCACGGAUCUGUUGUCUACGUUUCAGAUCUGCGAUUUGUUGAUUGAAAGCGGAUUGGAAGGUUUUCUUGGUACAGUGUUCGUUGGUUGCGAGUGUCGUCCUCUGGAGGUAGUAAUCCAGAUGAAUAAUUGAUGCGGAGAUUUUUGUUCGUUUGAUGGAUCAUCAGAAUCUUUUAUCAAAUGCAUCUUAGUGAUCAAAGUUUUGACUCGCUGGAAGACGAUGUUCAUGUACUAAUGGGAACUUUAAGUGUGGAAUCGACAUCCAGGUUUGUUUGUAUAUAUAGAAAGUAAUCGGAAGGAACGGGUCUCGUUUGUAGUGGAGUCCUGUAUGUCCUCUUACCUCUUGUUAUUUGGCCUUUGCCAUGUUGGGUGCGCUCGCAUGGCAGGCCGCCAUAUCCUAAUAAAAAAUAUUGUUUUUGUUUUGAGGGGAGGUCGCACGGGUUUUGCCCGGGAUCUCUCCUCUGGUGUGCGCGCCUUGUGUUUUGUGUGUGUGUGUGUGUGUGUUCGAGUGCCUGUUUUUACUCUAUCCGUGCUUAAAGCCUCUUACAGUCCAAAUCGUGGCAACAUCAACAUCGUUUAUCCAAGUGAUCCCCCAUCGACAUUAACCAUCACCUGAUUCUCAGCAAAAGUCCCAAUACACGACUUUUGUGAUGCAGCAUUUCAUAAGACAACACCUGGAGAUCAAAACGGUUCGCUACUUUAUGCCAGAAUCUGUUUAAUUAAUUUUUUCUUUCCCUAUGCUUUUUUAAUUGAUUAUAUUUUUUGCUUCAUUUUGAGGUUUUGCGAUCAUUUUUAUAUUUUUAUCUUAUGUUAUACUGGACAUCAAAUUUGUGUUUUGUGUUAAUGGGUGGAGUUCUGUCUGUAUUGAGUUUAAAUUGUUUUGUAUGCUAUGGUUGCCUGGCCUUACAUGAUAAGGUUUGUGGUAAGAGCUAUAAAUUUCAGAUACCAUCUCCAUCAAAAGCUACUAGGUUGUUUGCUUUUCAUGACCCCUAUGGUUGUAAUAUCUGGUUGGAGACGAUGAGCAAAAAUGUUGUAAGCAAUGCUGCUGGUGGAACUUUAUCUUCUCUAGGUGGAUCAAGAGUUUGCUGAUAUGCAAGAGUUGCAAGUGGAAGUGCUGUAGCCGCCUUUUUGUCAAAGCAGCUGCUUUUGCUACUGCUGGACUUCAAGGUUGUGGCCUCUGGCUGUCGCUGUUGCUUAUUAUAGCAAGAUGUUUUCUCUGCUGUUUUGCCUUCUGGAAGUGCUGGCUGGUAUGUUCCUCACUGACAAAGCUUUGGCCGUUUGGGUCCGGUCCGCGGCAUUAUCGGUGUGAAUGCAAACAGGUUACGAUGCUUGCAUGAUGUAAUUUCGUCCGGGGUGUGGCAUGCAUGGUUGCCACUCAUUGUCUUCUCAUCUGAUCCACGUGUUAUAGCUAUACUGGCAUGAGUCUAGUUGGAUGUUCUAUUUGCCAUUCGGUACCUUCUCUCUCAAUUUUCAUUGAUCGGUACCUUCCCUCUCAAUUUUUGUUGCUGUAACUUUCUUUAACCAGUUCUGUUGCAGUAAUUCUGUUGAUAGUAUGUUUUUUAGUACUCUAUUGAAACUCAUUGUUGCAGAUGAUUUGACCUGAUGUCUCUGAUGGUGCUGCAAUCUGUAGUCGACCAGUUGAUCAAAUGUAGUUGAGCUUUUCUUAAGUUGCAUGUAGGACACUGAAAUUUUCAUGAUUUGUGGAUGAAGUUUUAGCCGUCUCCUAUAGAUGCUUGUCACCUGACGAGCUCUAUUUUGCUCAUCUAUUGACUGUUGUUAUAAAUGUCUAUUUUUAAGCACUUGUUCUAUUUCUUUCUAUUCUCAAUAGUGUGAUCCUGUAAAGUUUCUGGAGCAAAAUGUAGUAAACGAUUUUAUCACUUUGUGAAA